GUCUCACUGAGUUGCUUAGUGUCUCACUGAAUUGCUGAGGCUGGCUUUGAACUUGCAAUCCCCCUGCCUCAGCCUCCCUAGCUGCUGGGAUUACAGGCCUGGGGAGAUGGCGUUUUAAUUUGCAUUUCUCUAAUGAUUAGUGAUGUUGAACAUCUUUUCAUGUGCUUGUUUGGCCUUCUGUGUAUCUUCUUUGGAGAAAUGUCUAUGCAUGUUCUCUGCCCAUUUUUGAAUAGUUUUAUGUUGUUGUUGCUGUUGUUGUUAUCAACAAGCAUUUCACUCCUAUACUCAUACUAACUCUAGGUAACAUUACUGUUCCUGUUCACAGAUAAGGAAACAGAGGUGCAGAUAGUCAGUAGUUUGCCCAAAGUCACACAGUUGGUGCACAAUAGAUCUCUAUGCAAAGGGCUGGUGUUCUUCUUCACUGUGUCAUUUUGUCAAAGAACAGAAGGGCAUCCCUUAUCUCCAGGAGCAGCUGGGCAGGGGACAGGAAGAGGAGAGCUGAGUGGACAACAUCUUGCCUCUUAUGUCACUUAAGAGGCAAUCAUGGGUGCUGUUUAAGGCAAAAAUUAGAAACACCCAACCAGCUAUCGCCAUGGCAAUGGCAGUACUAACCUGGUGGCUUCCCAUAGCAACUCAACUCAAGGGAUCUUUGCUGAGCUCCCAAUUCCUCCCUGACCUGGGCUGGCACCGAGAUUUGGAAUGGACUAGACCCUGUCCUCUGAGGAGUGUUCAAUUUAGUUCGGGAGACAGACCUGUCACAUCAUAAUCAUACUUUUACCAAAGGAAAUUUCAUAAGCUCCAAAUUCCACCUGCUGUUUCCUACAGGCUUCUCUUCUGAUUCCAGUUAGUUAGUUAGUUAGUUAGUGCUCUUUGAUUUCUAACAGAAUCCUGGGUUGAACUACUUUCAGCAGGAAGGGAAGUGAAUGGAGGGAUGUGGGGGAGUCUCCCAAGCUCCAAGGGCAGGAUGCAAUGAGCCUCAGGGUGAGAACCAAACUGAAAUAUCAAACAGGCCCAAGAUGGGUGCUGUCAUGGUCCCCCCACUCAAAAAGAAACUGAGGUUUCAUCUCUGUCCUGGAAGUUCCAAAAAUCCUAUAAGAAGAUCUUUGACCCGGGCAGGCCCUGGUCCUCAUCCCUCGUCACCAGGACAUAGAGUGAAGGACAUGGGGAUUGUGCUUGCAAACAUGUGGAGGAAGGGGCAGUGGUGACAACUAGGAAAAGGUGCGUGACAGACAAUCCACCUGGCGCCCACACACUGAUCGGUGCAUGAUCAAGGCACAAACAUGUCUUUUGUACAAUUAUAAUGAUGUUUUCAAUAUCGUAGAAUUAUAGUUUUAUUCAACGUUAAUUCAUAUGUAUUUCUAAGCAGUAA
rnacentral:lncRNA from 1 species